GCAUCUCUGAAUUUUGAAACUACUAAAUGCCGGUAUACCUUUUCGACGAUAUCUGAAUUUAUGGAAGAUCCAUUAAAAAUGCACAUCAUCGUUGUUUGGAAUACAGGUUCUAGAAAUUUUAUGUCAAAAAGUAAUUCCAUAUGUCUGCUUCUUGAUAUAAACAAAGACUUCGUAGCUUUUGGUUAUGAUGCUGAAUCUCGGUAUAACGACGUUCUUUUGGAUGGUUUAAAAGAUGAUUAUUACUUUUUCUGUGGUUUAACGUUACUUCACAGCAACAAGAAUGUCACUGGCGACAUGAUUAUUGAAGAUGUGACUGGAAAAAUUCUACCUGCUUUUGACGUAUUAAAAUAUGCUGUUAAAUACUUAGUGAGUCAUCUGAUGGAUAUUUUGGAAAAUGUCGGGCAUAAUGAAGUGAAAUGGGUUCUGACUGUACCAUCAUCCUGGACAAAGACUGGCGAAGAUAUUAUGAAAUUAAGUGCAGAGUGGGCAGGCAUCAAACCUGAUCACUUGGUGUUGGUACCUAAAAGCGUAUCUGCAUUUGUUUAUUGUCAGACUUUACUGCUACGAGACAAUACACAAAAAACACAAGACGGAGAAGAAUAUAUGGUUGUUGAUC